rnacentral:tRNA from 1 species
GGAGGUCUUGCAGCUAUGGCGUGUGCUGCCCCGGAUUGUAAAUCCGGUCCCACUGGGUAAACAUUCUCGGUUCGAAUCCGAGGGCCUCCACCA